GGUCCCUUGUUUAAAUAGGAGAGAGUUUGAUUUUGGGUAGGAGAUAAGAGACCAAACAACCUUGGACUCUUGCUUUUUAUGCCACUCACCCUUCAAAUUUUUUGCACCCAGGUUUCACAUGGGAAAGAGAGGAUUAUGUGACCUUCUUACAUGCUAAAUAAGAAAGGGGGCAUGGAAAAAUAUUGGCAUGCAAAUCUAGUUGUGCGUGGGACCUUUUAUGGCACAUGGAGAG
rnacentral:lncRNA from 1 species